rnacentral:misc_RNA from 1 species
CACAAAAACAUGUUGCCUUUGUGACAGGAGUUGUCAAAUGAGAACCACCAAUCAUUAAGUAUUUUGUACAAAUCAUAGGGAUAAAUUGAUUUAAGAACUCAGAAUUUCUGAUAUAUCUAGUAUAUUUUAAGAUAAGUUAAUAUACUAAAGUGGUUGUUGAUUUCUUUAGGCCUCACAAGGUAAAAUUGAUAUUAGGCACAUCUGAAACCAAGAAAAAUUCCUCCCCGUACCACAAAAUCUAGUCCUUUGCUCUGUAGAGAAUAAUCUGUCUGAAAAUGAAAACUGCUGCAUCCGGGAAUUCAGGUUGGAAAAUAAAGAAAUGGAUGGAAGCCACAGAGGGAAUCACAGGUUAGAACACUAGACCUAACAUUUAAGGAAGCUAUCUCUUUUCAGGACCCUCCACCAGCCUUGCCUGCAAUAGCUGCCUUAGGUUCAAUGUUUCCUUUGCCAUUUAUUGGCAGAGAAUUUGAAGAGGGUUGUGAAUUUCUGAUAUCUUUUGCCUUCCUUUUCUCUUCUCCCAGCACAUCUGUUUUAGAAGUUGGUGCAAAUCUUUCAAGUCGAGCUUUUUUCUUUGCUUCCUC